GGGAUUCUGGAUGACUUUCUUGAAACUCAAGAUAUCCUGGAGCUGGCAGACGGGCUCAACUUCGCUUCCGACGCUUUUCCCGAAGAAGCCUGGGGAAAAAAGUUGAUGUGAUUCCUGCCUUAAUAUAUCACCAAAAGAAGAAAGUAAGGCCUUUUCCAUGGAAUGCUAACUUGAGCACAGGAACAACUUUGAAAAUUCCUAUCACCGCCUACAUUAAGAAAUUCGGAAAGUACCCGUGAAAUGGAGCUGUCAGAAGAGAGUGGUAUUGAGGGCAAGCUCAGCAUUAUUGAUGACUUUA